CGAACGAUGAUCCGGUUUCGGCCGGGGAUUAGUGGCGAACGGGUGAGUAACACGUGGGCAAUCUGCCCUGCACUCUGGGACAAGCCCUGGAAACGGGGUCUAAUACCGGAUAGUACCUUCGGGCGCAUGCCUGUUGGUGGAAAGCUCCGGCGGUGCAGGAUGGGCCCGCGGCCUAUCAGCUUGUUGGUGGGGUGAUGGCCUACCAAGGCGACGACGGGUAGCCGGCCUGAGAGGGCGACCGGCCACACUGGGACUGAGACACGGCCCAGACUCCUACGGGAGGCAGCAGUGGGGAAUAUUGCACAAUGGGCGCAAGCCUGAUGCAGCGACGCCGCGUGAGGGAUGACGGCCUUCGGGUUGUAAACCUCUUUCAGCAGGGAAGAAGCGAGAGUGACGGUACCUGCAGAAGAAGCGCCGGCUAACUACGUGCCAGCAGCCGGGGUAAUUCA
rnacentral:rRNA from 1 species